AAUAUUGUUCUGAGAAGCCACAGAAAAAGGGUAGGCAUAUAGGAAAUUGGGGUAUACGUUGCCGCAAAAGAGACAAAUACUGUACGUACUUGAAAGUUUUACCUUUGAUGUGUAAUCCUUACUUUUGAUGCGGCCUCCCGUGAUCUCCGCAUCUUAAAGGCCAAAACGUGAGAAACUAAAGGAGUUGGAUCUGAUGGGAUGGUUCUCUCAGAUGCUCCGAG
rnacentral:lncRNA from 1 species